AGAGUUUGAUCCUGGCUCAGGAUGAACGCUAGCUACAGGCUUAACGACAUGCAAGUCGAGGGGGAAACGACAUCGAAAAGCUUAGCUUUUUGAUUGGGCGUCGACCGGCGCACGGGUGAGUAACGCGUAUCCAACCUGCCCACCACUUGGGGAUAACCUUGCGAAGUAAGACUAAUACCCAAUGAUAUCUCUAGAAGACAUCUGAAAGAGAUUAAAGAUUCAUCGGUGAUGGAUGGGGAUGCGUCUGAUUAGCUUGUUGGCGGGGUAACGGGCCCACCAAGGCAACGAUCAGUAGGGGUUCUGAGAGGAAGGUCCCCCACCAUUGGAACUGAGACACGGUCCAAACUCCUACGGGAGGCAGCA
rnacentral:rRNA from 1 species